rnacentral:rRNA from 1 species
GACGAACGCUGGCGGCGUGCUUAACACAUGCAAGUCGAACGGAAAGGCCCUGCUUUUGUGGGGUGCUCGAGUGGCGAACGGGUGAGUAACACGUGAGUAACCUGCCCUUGACUUUGGGAUAACUUCAGGAAACUGGGGCUAAUACCGGAUAGGAGCUCCUGUUGCAUGGUGGGGGUUGGAAAGUUUCGGCGGUUGGGGAUGGACUCGCGGCUUAUCAGCUUGUUGGUGGGGUAGUGGCUUACCAAGGCUUUGACGGGUAGCCGGCCUGGGAGGGUGACCGGCCACAUUGGGACUGAGAUACGGCCCAGACUCCUACGGGAGGCAGCAGUGGGGAAUAUUGCACAAUGGGCGGAAGCCUGAUGCAGCAACGCCGCGUGCGGGAUGACGGCCUUCGGGUUGUAAACCGCUUUCGCCUGUGACGAAGCGUGAGUGACGGUAAUGGGUAAAGAAGCACCGGCUAACUACGUG